GACGAACGCUGGCGGCGCGCUUAACACAUGCAAGUCGAGCGAUAACCAUGGCUUCGGCCAUGGGGAGAGCGGCGAACGGGUGAGUAACACGUGAGCGAUCUGCCCUCGACACUGGGAUAGCCCGGGGAAACCCGGAUUAAUACCGGAUAGCCUCUCGGGUCUACGGGCUCGUGAGAAAAGAUGGCUUCGGCAUUCGGUCGAGGAGGAGCUUGCGGCGGAUUAGCUUGUUGGUGAGGUAACGGCUCACCAAGGCGACGAUCCGUAGCUGGUCUGAGAGGACGAUCAGCCACACUGGGACUGAGACACGGCCCAGACUCCUACGGGAGGCAGCAGUGGGGAAUCUUGCGCAAUGGGCGAAAGCCUGACGCAGCGACGCCGCGUGAGGGAAGAAGGCCUUCGGGUUGUAAACCUCUUUCAGGAGGGACGAAGCUACUCGGGUUAAUAGCCCAGAGGGUGACGGUACCUCCAGAAGAAGCCCCGGCUAACUACGUGCCAGCCGCCGCCGUAAUAC
rnacentral:rRNA from 1 species